UACGUAGGGGGCAAGCGUUAUCCGGAAUUACUGGGUGUAAAGGGUGAGUAGGCGGCAUGGUAAGCCAGAUGUGAAAGCCUUGGGCUUAACCCGAGGAUUGCAUUUGGAACUAUCAAGCUAGAGUACAGGAGAGGAAAGCGGAAUUCCUAGUGUAGCGGUGAAAUGCGUAGAUAUUAGGAAGAACACCAGUGGCGAGGGCGGCUUUCUGGACUGAAACUGACGCUGAGGCACGAAAGCGUGGGGAGCGAACAGG
rnacentral:rRNA from 1 species